UACAGAGGGGGCAAGCGUUGUUCGGAAUUACUGGGCGUAAAGGGCGCGUAGGCGGCCUUCUAAGUCGAACGUGAAAUCCCCGGGCUCAACCCGGGAACUGCGUCCGAUACUGGAAGGCUUGAAUCCGGGAGAGGGAUGUGGAAUUCCAGGUGUAGCGGUGAAAUGCGUAGAGAUUGGGAGGAACACCAAAGGCGAAAGCACUCUGCUGGGCCGCAACUGACACUGAGAGACGAAAGCGAGGGGAGCAAAUGGG
rnacentral:rRNA from 1 species